ensembl:snRNA U1 U1 spliceosomal RNA
AUACUUACUCAGCAUGGGAGAUACCAUGAUCAUGAAGGUGGUUUUCCCAGGGCAAGGCUUAUCCAUUGCACUCCAGAUGUGCUGACCCAUGUGAUUUACUCAAAUGCAAGAAACUCAACUGAAUAAUUUGUGGUAAUGGGGGUCUGAAUUCACUCUGUCCCCUG